rnacentral:rRNA from 1 species
UUCCCGAAUUCGGAAGAGCUAUCUAUUUUAUUGUAAUAAAUAUUUUUAAUAAGUAAUGAAAUGUUAAUAUAUCUGGUUUUCUAGGAAAGUUUAAUUUUUUUAUUUUUUUAGGGAUUAGCUUGAAAUAGGAUUAGAAGUUUUGUUAUAUUUAAAUUACUAGAAUAAUUAGUUUAAUAUUUGUUGAAAUAAUGAUUUAAUUAGUAUAAGAUUAGGAAAAGGAAUUCGGCAAAUAUUUUUCACCUGUUUAAUAAAAACAUGGCCUUUUGAUUUUAAUUUAAGGUCUAACCUGCCCUAUGAGGCCGCGGUACUUUGACCGUGCAAAGGUAGCAUAAUAAUUAGUUUUUUAAUUGAAAGCUGGUAUGAAUGGUUGAAUGAGAAAAUAACUGUCUCUUUCUAAUAGAAUUUUAUUUUUAAGUUAAAAGGCUUAAAUUUUAUUAAAAGACGAGAAGACCCUAUAGAGUUUCAUUUUGAUUGGGGCGAUUGAAAAAUUAAUUAAACUUUUGAUUAUAAGAAUAAAUUACCUUAGGGAUAACAGCGUAAUCUUUUUAAGAGUUCUAAUCGAAAAAAGGGUUUGCGACCUCGA